UACGGAGGGGGCUAGCGUUAUUCGGAAUUACUGGGCGUAAAGCGCACGUAGGCGGAUUGACAAGUCAGAGGUGAAAUCCCAGGGCUCAACCUUGGAACUGCCUUUGAAACUGUCAGUCUUGAGGUCGUGAGAGGUGAGUGGAAUUCCGAGUGUAGAGGUGAAAUUCGUAGAUAUUCGGAGGAACACCAGUGGCGAAGGCGGCUCACUGGAACGAUACUGACGCUGAGGUGCGAAAGCGUGGGGAGCAAACAGG
rnacentral:rRNA from 1 species